UACGUAGGGUGCGAGCGUUAAUCGGAAUUACUGGGCGUAAAGCGUGCGCAGGCGGUUUUGUAAGCCAGAUGUGAAAGCCCCGGGCUUAACCUGGGAAUUGCAUUGGAUACUGGCAGGCUAGAGUGCGGUAGAGGAUGGCGGAAUUCCCGGUGUAGCAGUGAAAUGCGUAGAGAUCGGGAGGAACAUCUGUGGCGAAGGCGGCCAUCUGGACCAGCACUGACACUGAGGCACGAAAGCGUGGGGAGCAAACAGG
rnacentral:rRNA from 1 species